rnacentral:rRNA from 1 species
AGUCACUGACAUUAGAUACCCGUGUAGUCCCAGCCGUAAACUAUGCGCGUUAGGUGUACUGGUGACCACGAGUCACCGGGGUGCCGAAGGGAAACCGUGAAACGUGCCGCCUGGGAAGUACGGUCGCAAGGCUGAAACUUAAAGGAAUUGGCGGGGGAGCACCGCAACGGGAGGAGCGUGCGGUUUAAUUGGAUUCAACACCGUAAAACUCACCAGGGAAGACUGUUACAUGAAAGCCGAGUUGAAGACUCUGCUAGAUUUUCAG